rnacentral:tRNA from 1 species
UGGAGGUCUUCUAAUGUAAUUGUGUUUUAUUUUGAGAACACUGCCAUUGGAAUGUUUCUACACGAUCCUAUUAAGAAUAAUGUAAUGCCCUUUCAAUGCAACUUUUCAUAUUUAGUUUAUUUUGUUAGCGUGAUUUUAGCUCUGUUUGUAUUAUGAUUUUUAAUCAAAAUCAAUAGAUUAAAAUAGUUUGACAUUCGAAGUGACAAUGUCUAGCAAUCAAAUUUACAUGUAUAGAUCGUCAGGGAAUAGCCCAAAAGUUUUAAAUGCAAAAAAAAGUGAACAUAAAAAACCAGGAAGCAGGAGUUCCCGUCAUGGCGCAGUGGUUAACGAAUCCGACUAGGAACCAUGAGGUUGCAGGUUCGAUCCCUGCCCUUGCUCAGUGGGUUAACGAUCUGACGUUUCGGUGAGCUGCGGUGUAUGUUGCAGACACGGCUCGGAUCCUGAGUUGCUGUGGCUCUGGUGUAGGCCGGUGGCUACAGCUCCGACUGGACCCCUAGCCUGGGAAUCUCCACAUGCCGUGGGAGCGGCCCAAGAAAUAGCAAAAAAAGACAAAAAAAACAACAACAAAAAAACAGGAAGCAGAGGACCCGUGAAUGGAAAGAAAGUGGAGGGAUCCAGACUAGGGCGCCACCGUUUCUGAGAACAGGUGGAGCUGGAGAUCCAGGCUGGGAGAGAGAUGCAAAUCCACGAGCUGCAUGCCUGGCUCGGUACCUUCACAGACGGUGGUGACACGCCAGGCCUUUGAAGUCUAGGCGGCUGUAUCUUCCCUCUAGGCUGACUUGCCAGCAUUCAAAGGUUAUACUCUCUGUGUGGCUCCCACGUAAGCAGGUCUGGUAACCAAGAUCCCAAGAGCAUGGCGUUGGAGUUCCCUGGUGGUGCAGCAGGUUAAGGAUCCAGCACUAUCACUGCAGUAGCUCAGGUCACUGCUGUGGUGCAGGUUUGAUCUCUGGCCUGGGAACUUCCAUGUGCCACGUGUGCAGCCAAAAAAUAAAUAAAUUAAUAAAUAGAACA